rnacentral:rRNA from 1 species
CCCUUAGAUGUCCUGGGCCGCACGCGCGCUACACUGACUGGUUCAACGAGUUUAUUCCUUGCCCGAUGGGGCUGGGUAAUCUUUUAAAAGCCAGUCGUGCUGGGGCUUGACAAUUGCAAUUAUUUGUCACCAACGAGGAAUUCCUUGUAAGCGCAAUUCAUCAGAUUGCGUUGAAUACGUCCCUGCCCUUUGUACACACCGCCCGUCGCUCCUACCGAUUGGAUGGUCCGGUGAGGUCUACGGAUUGGCACAGAUGGCGUGGCAACACGACGCUGAGCCGAGAAGUUGAUCAAACCUUAUCAUCUAGAGGAAGGAAAAGUCGUAACA